UACGUAGGAGACGAGCGUUGUCCGGAGUUACUGGGCGUAAAGGGUGCGCAGGCGGCCCUGCGCGUCGCGAGUGAAAUCUCCCGGCUCAACUGGGAGGGUGGUCGCGAGACGGCAGGGCUUGAGGCUCGGUGAGGGGCGUGGAAUUCCGGGUGGAGCGGUGAAAUGCGUAGAGAUCCGGAGGAACACCGACGGCGUAGGCAGCGCCCUGGGCAGUAACUGACACUGAGGCGCGACAGCGUGGGGAGCAAACAGG
rnacentral:rRNA from 1 species